UCCGUAGGUGAACCUGCGGAAGGAUCAUUAAUAAACGGCGACGCUUUCGAGCUUAGCUUUUAUAUCCUAUACACCUGUGAACUAUUUGCCUUUGGGCACAAACUUAAACAUAAUGUAAUGAAUGUAAACUAUUAUAACAAAUACAACUUUCAACAACGGAUCUCUUGGCUCUCACAUCGAUGAAGAACGCAGCGAAAUGCGAUAAGUAAUGUGAAUUGCAGAAUUCAGUGAAUCAUCGAAUCUUUGAACGCAAAUUGCGCCUUUUGGUAUUCCGAAAGGCAUGCCUGUUUGAGUGUCUUAUAAACCUCUCUAUACUAUUUAUUUAAUAUAGAGCUUUGGGUGUUGCCAGCGAUGGCUCGCCUUAAAUGUCUAAGUGGAAUGCAUAAUAAGUUCUUGCAACCCUCCACUCUAACACACUUUAUAUUCUGACCUCAAAUCAGGUAGGACUACCCGCUGAACUUAAGCAUAUCAAUAAGCGGAGGA
rnacentral:rRNA from 1 species